rnacentral:rRNA from 1 species
GACGAACGCUGGCGGCGUGCUUAACACAUGCAAGUCGAACGGAAAGGCCCUGCUUUUGUGGGGUUCUCGAGUGGCGAACGGGUGAGUAACACGUGAGUAACCUGCCCUUGACUUUGGGAUAACUUCAGGAAACUGGGGCUAAUACCGGAUAUGAGCUCCUGCUGCAUGGUGGUGGUUGGAAAGAUUCGGCGGUGGUGGAUGGACUCGCGGCUUAUCAGCUGGUUGGUGGGGUAGUGGUUUACCAAGGCUUUGACGGGUAGCCGGCCUGAGAGGGUGAACGGCGACCUUGGGCCUGAGAUAGGGCCCAGACUGCUACGUGAGGCAGCAGGGGGGAACAUUGCAGAACGGGGGGGAGUCUGAUGUAGCAAUGCCGCGUGCGGGAUGCCCGCUUACUGGUGGUAAACCGCUGUGGACUGUGACGAGGCGUGAGUGACGGUACUGGGUAAAGAAGCCCCGGCUAACUACGUG